rnacentral:ncRNA from 2 species
CAGCAGAUGAACGAGCAAGGUGUUUAACGAACGCAAAGCGUGCAAACUGAAACGGGAAUGGACAUGGGCGGACCCAAACAGGGCGUCCCAAUGCCAACCGCCCCCGCGACUGUAUGCGGCGAGCUGCUUUUCAAAUGCCACUGACCGGGGUUCCGGUUGGGAAGGGGAAAAGCCGCUGUGACCCGCUAGUCAGGAGACCGGCCUUGCAAAGAAACAAACC